UACCGAGGGUGCGAGCGUUAAUCGGAAUUACUGGGCGUAAAGCGUGCGUAGGCGGCUAUCUAAGUCGGGUGUGAAAGCCCCGGGCUCAACCUGGGAAUUGCAUUCGAGACUGAAUAGCUAGGGUGCGGUAGAGGGAAGCGGAAUUUCCGGUGUAGCGGUGAAAUGCGUAGAUAUCGGAAGGAACAUCAGUGGCGAAAGCGGCUUCCUGGACCAGCACCGACGUUCAGGCACGAAAGCGUGGGGAGCAAACAGG
rnacentral:rRNA from 1 species